GCUGCGAUGGCCGAGUGGUUAAGGCGUUGGACUCGAAAUCCAAUGUGAUAUUCCCGCGCAGGUUCGAAUCCUGUUCGCAGAG
rnacentral:tRNA from 1 species